UUUGGUUGGACCGUAGUCCUCAUCGUGGCCGCAGCACUGAAGGCGAUGGCCACCCAGGAGGCUAAAAAGUUUGUCCGGAACAUACGUGGAGGGUGGCGGGGAACGGCGAUCCGCGCACUCGAGGAGGCGACCGUUUACCACAUCGGGGACGUAGCCUUAAGCGCGCUCCCCGUUGUCGACGCGGACAACCACCCGACGGCCCAUGGAGCGCUGCUCCUCAUUUAUGUUGCAUGCGCCACCCAAGUGGCCAUAAACAAGGCCGCUGCACUGAAGGCAGUGGCAUCUAAGGUACGUGUUUUCACUAUAAGCAUCUGUGCGCAAUUUUGUGAUGGAUUAGGGGACAUGUGUGAAGAAAAAUAUUUCCAUACGGAGGAAAACGACUGGUCAUCUCAAUAUCACGAAGCAUGUUAAAAAGCAUACUUUUCUUGUUCUUUAUGCGGUUUACGAUUAUGCACUUGCAGCUGGGCUAGUUCUCAGAGUGGAGGUGGAGGCGCGCACAACGGACACACUACGUCAGUUGUUUGAAAAAAAGAAACUAAUUGUCAGUCUGCACUCGUAUCAUGCACUUCGUUUUGUCCUUCGUCCAGGUUGCGCUGUACACCCAUAGGAAUGUGUUCAGUCACCAACUCGCCCGGCUUGCUGUGUUAAUACAAUCUUCAACCUGAAUAUGUCAAGCUUACUGUUGUGUUAGUAUUGUUUUACAACACUUGGUCGAAUUUGCACAGGAAUAGAAUUCAAUAUUUUCAUUAUUACCUCUGUAAAUUACGUGGUAAUAAAUACAUGGUGAUGGUAUUUAUUUUUCUGCACUGCCUUUCUUUUUGGCGCAUUGGUCAGACCUGCCGCAUGAAACUUGCUCUCUACACCAAUGUUUUGCGUGGUUUUCUAUUUAAUAAGUCUCUUCGCGGUUGCGCCGCCAACAGUCUCAAAGUGCCUUUCGUACGGCCACAGCACUUUUGGAUGGACUUCCAUGCUGCUCGUGGCCGCUGCACUCAAGGCUAUUGCUACCCGGGAUCUGAAGAAGUAGGUGAAAAGCAGAUGUGGGCGGAUGUUGUCGACGAUGCACGAACUCGAAACAGCGAAGUACUACCACAUCUGGGACCUGGCCCUGAGCGCGCUCCCCGUGGUAGAUGCCGACAACUACCUGACUGGCCAUGGUGUAUUGUUGCUGGUUUACGUGGUAUGCUCCAGCCACGUGGUCUUUACGAAGGCCACUGCACUGAAAGCAGUGGCAUCUAAGAUUGCGGUCGUGGCGCCUACGGUAUCCAAAUGUAUUUCUUACUGCCAUGGCAGUUUUGGUUGGACCGUAGUCCUCAUCGUGGCCGCAGCACUGAAGGCGAUGGCCACCCAGGAGGCUAAAAAGUUUGUCCGGAACAUACGUGGAGGGUGGCGGGGAACGGCGAUCCGCGCACUCGAGGAGGCGACCGUUUACCACAUCGGGGACGUAGCCUUAAGCGCGCUCCCCGUUGUCGACGCAGACAACCACCCGACGGCCCAUGGAGCGCUGCUCCUCAUUUAUGUUGCAUGCGCCACCCAAGUGGCCAUAAACAAGGCCGCUGCACUGAAGGCAGUGGCAUCUAAGAUUGCGGUUGCGCCGCCUACGGUAUCCAAAUGUAUUUCUUACUGCCAUGGCAGUUUUGGUUGGACCGUAGUCCUCAUCGUGGCCGCAGCACUGAAGGCGAUGGCCACCCAGGAGGCUAAAAAGUUUGUCCGGAACAUACGUGGAGGGUGGCGGGGAACGGCGAUCCGCGCACUCGAGGAGGCGACCGUUUACCACAUCGGGGACGUAGCCUUAAGCGCGCUCCCCGUUGUCGACGCGGACAACCACCCGACGGCCCAUGGAGCGCUGCUCCUCAUUUAUGUUGCAUGCGCCACCCAAGUGGCCAUAAACAAGGCCGCUGCACUGAAGGCAGUGGCAUCUAAGCACUUUUGGAUGGACUUCCAUGCUGCUCGUGGCCGCUGCACUCAAGGCUAUUGCUACCCGGGAUCUGAAGAAGUAGGUGAAAAGCAGAUGUGGGCGGAUGUUGUCGACGAUGCACGAACUCGAAACAGCGAAGUACUACCACAUCUGGGACCUGGCCCUGAGCGCGCUCCCCGUGGUAGAUGCCGACAACUACCUGACUGGCCAUGGUGUAUUGUUGCUGGUUUACGUGGUAUGCUCCAGCCACGUGGUCUUUACGAAGGCCACUGCACUGAAAGCAGUGGCAUCUAAGAUUGCGGUCGUGGCGCCUACGGUAUCCAAAUGUAUUUCUUACUGCCAUGGCAGUUUUGGUUGGACCGUAGUCCUCAUCGUGGCCGCAGCACUGAAGGCGAUGGCCACCCAGGAGGCUAAAAAGUUUGUCCGGAACAUACGUGGAGGGUGGCGGGGAACGGCGAUCCGCGCACUCGAGGAGGCGACCGUUUACCACAUCGGGGACGUAGCCUUAAGCGCGCUCCCCGUUGUCGACGCAGACAACCACCCGACGGCCCAUGGAGCGCUGCUCCUCAUUUAUGUUGCAUGCGCCACCCAAGUGGCCAUAAACAAGGCCGCUGCACUGAAGGCAGUGGCAUCUAAGAUUGCGGUUGCGCCGCCUACGGUAUCCAAAUGUAUUUCUUACUGCCAUGGCAGUUUUGGUUGGACCGUAGUCCUCAUCGUGGCCGCAGCACUGAAGGCGAUGGCCACCCAGGAGGCUAAAAAGUUUGUCCGGAACAUACGUGGAGGGUGGCGGGGAACGGCGAUCCGCGCACUCGAGGAGGCGACCGUUUACCACAUCGGGGACGUAGCCUUAAGCGCGCUCCCCGUUGUCGACGCGGACAACCACCCGACGGCCCAUGGAGCGCUGCUCCUCAUUUAUGUUGCAUGCGCCACCCAAGUGGCCAUAAACAAGGCCGCUGCACUGAAGGCAGUGGCAUCUAAGGUACGUGUUUUCACUAUAAGCAUCUGUGCGCAAUUUUGUGAUGGAUUAGGGGACAUGUGUGAAGAAAAAUAUUUCCAUACGGAGGAAAACGACUGGUCAUCUCAAUAUCACGAAGCAUGUUAAAAAGCAUACUUUUCUUGUUCUUUAUGCGGUUUACGAUUAUGCACUUGCAGCUGGGCUAGUUCUCAGAGUGGAGGUGGAGGCGCGCACAACGGACACACUACGUCAGUUGUUUGAAAAAAAGAAACUAAUUGUCAGUCUACACUCGUAUCAUGCACUUCGUUUUGUCCUUCGUCCAGGUUGCGCUGUACACCCAUAGGAAUGUGUUCAGUCACCAACUCGCCCGGCUUGCUGUGUUAAUACAAUCUUCAACCUGAAUAUGUCAAGCUUACUGUUGUGUUAGUAUUGUUUUACAACACUUGGUCGAAUUUGCACAGGAAUAGAAUUCAAUAUUUUCAUUAUUACCUCUGUAAAUUACGUGGUAAUAAAUACAUGGUGAUGGUAUUUAUUUUUCUGCACUGCCUUUCUUUUUGGCGCAUUGGUCAGACCUGCCGCAUGAAACUUGCUCUCUACACCAAUGUUUUGCGUGGUUUUCUAUUUAAUAAGUCUCUUAAUUCCUUUACUAUUUACGUUUUUCUUGGUUCUCGUUCCCAGAUUGCGGUCGCGCCGCCUACGGUAUCCAAAUGUAUUUCUUACUGCCAUGGCAGUUUUGGUUGGACCGUAGUCCUCAUCGUGGCCGCAGCACUGAAGGCGAUGGCCACCCAGGAGGCUAAAAAGUUUGUCCGGAACAUACGUGGAGGGUGGCGGGGAACGGCGAUCCGCGCACUCGAGGAGGCGACCGUUUACCACAUCGGGGACGUAGCCUUAAGCGCGCUCCCCGUUGUCGACGCGGACAACCACCCGACGGCCCAUGGAGCGCUGCUCCUCAUUUAUGUUGCAUGCGCCACCCAAGUGGCCAUAAACAAGGCCGCUGCACUGAAGGCAGUGGCAUCUAAGGUACGUGUUUUCACUAUAAGCAUCUGUGCGCAAUUUUGUGAUGGAUUAGGGGACAUGUGUGAAGAAAAAUAUUUCCAUACGGAGGAAAACGACUGGUCAUCUCAAUAUCACGAAGCAUGUUAAAAAGCAUACUUUUCUUGUUCUUUAUGCGGUUUACGAUUAUGCACUUGCAGCUGGGCUAGUUCUCAGAGUGGAGGUGGAGGCGCGCACAACGGACACACUACGUGUCAUGACGCAAUUCGCUCCUAUUUUGACAAAGUUUUCUUCACCUCUUUUCUUUUUUGGCGACUUUAAGUUUCCUAAUAUAGUUUGGAACAAUAAUCUGCCUGACUUAUUUUACUUUUUUAUUCAAAAGAAUUCUUGGAUAUUUCUACUUCAUUUUCUUGAACUCGAUUAGCUACGCAAGGCACAAAAAUCACCCCCAAUGCUUUAAACAUUCUCGAUUUCAUCUUAACCAAUCUUCCCGAUUAUGCCUGUUUCAUCCAUUACUUAUCCAGCAUUAUCGACCAUCUAAUACUAAAUAUUCACUCUAAUACUCCAUUUCCGCAACUUCCAAAUAGUAAAAGAAUCCUUUUAUCAGGAAGGCACUAUAUUUUCAAUGCCUAAUGGAUCUUCAACCCUUGAUUGUGGUGUGAUGUUUGGUGUAUGCUGUCAUGUAUGCUGUCAUAGUGCAUGCGACCCGUUACGGUGGAGUAGCUCUAUUUAUCAGGAAGGCGCUAUAUUUUCAAUGCCUAAUGGGCAUCUCGAGCACUCAACAACCUGCUGAAACACCUUUUCCAACCCUUGUUUCUGGUGUGAUGUUUGGUGUAGUAUACCGCCCCCAACACUCUUGCGUUGAUGAUUUUAUAUCCGUCAUGGAAAACACAAUGGUUGCUUGUGUAGCCUCACAUUCUCAAAUAAUCAUCUGUGGUGAUUUUAACAUUGACCUUUCGAAAAACCAAUGUCAUGAUUGUGUUCUUUUUGCAGUCUUUCAAUCCUAGAAAUUUAUAUCCAAACACACACGUUUCUUGGAAUGUUCUGUGACACUUGAUUCGACACAAAUGUGGAAGGUGGAGCCUAUGAUUUGGCCAUUUCUGAUCACUGCCUGGCUUUUCUUGCCACGAUCAUACUUGCACCCUGCUCAAAAGUAGAUGCUGAGAAAUUGCAUACGCGUAAACUAUUCGCAAGUACGUACCCUGUAUGUACCCUGCAGAAAUUAACCUUGUUCGAAGCACUGUGCAAAAUGUUCGCAGCACUGUAUAAUUUACAGCAUCACCAAUGCAAUUAAAAAUAAGACCACGCCAUGCGUCCUUGGAUAACUGAGGCUAUGGUUGCACUGCCAAAAAAAAAGACUAUUGCUACAAAACAAAACAAGUGAUUAUUAUAAGGCCCAAUCACAAGCAGUUGCAGGAUACAGUGAUAAAAUAAUCUAUUUGUACUUUGCUAUCAGGAGCUGGCGACGAGAUUCCCAGAUAAUGGCGGCGAACGCCGACAAGGUCACAUUUGCGGGCGUACCGGCACUUUGCCGCCGGCUUCUUUUACGGAGGGAGAACAGACUGGGUGGAGAUUUGCGAGGCAGGACGUGACGGAGCCACAGGGGAUCAGGAGCUCGCAACGAGAUUCCCAGGUAAUGGCGGCGAACGCCGACAAGGUCACAUGAGCCUGCAUAUCGGCACUUUGCCGCCGGCUUUUUCUACGGAGGGAGCACAGACCGGGUGGAGAUUUAGGAGGCAGGACGUGACGGAGCCACAGGGGAUCAGAAGCUGGCGACGAGAUUCCCAGAUAAUGGCGGUGAACGCCGACAAGGUCACAUGAGCGGGCAUGUCGGCACUUUGCCGCCGGCUUUUUCUACGGAGGGAGCACAGACCGGGUGGAGAUUUGCGAGGCAGGACGUGACGGAGCCACAGGGGAUCAGGAGCUGGCAACGAGAUUCCCAGAUAAUGGCGGCGAACGUGCAGGUAUUCGUGCAGGCAUGCAAGUGCCGCUUGUUUCCAUGUGUAGCUUUCUAGUUCCAUUUAUGGAGGUAAAUUAUUGGACAUGCUUUUCUUUCUCCCUCUUUUUUUUCCCCUCAGACGGUGACCCAAUAUGGGUCACAAUAUGGGUCACCGACGGGACGAAGCAGCUCUCCAAACUUUCCUUUUCAGUGCAUGUUGGUGUCUUUCUUUCUUUGCAAUUCCGAGCUACCGUGUUCAUAGUUGGUUUGCUCUUGUUUUUCGGUUAAAUGGCCACGCACCCUGAGCUGCACAAAGGCCGCCGUCUUUCUACUCGAAUGCCUAGUGGCGAAAAGUGAAUCGAGCUUCCUUCAAAGCUCUCCAUAGGCCUUGGCAUCCGAGUGACCCAGACAGCGCCCGAAUGCCUUGCGACAUUCAGAAACGAGAGCCGUCGGCAAAGCUUCAUGUGCUUCAAUCUCAAAUCGCGGAAAUGCGAACCAAACCAUUCCUUUGAUUCCAUAUGGCUAAUUCUGUGUGCAUGGGCAUAGCAAGACAUUUGAACUGUCGCCUAUAAGUAGCUAAAGGAGAAAUAAAUGGGAAAAGUUGUAUUAGCAGUUCGACAGAGUAUAUUUUUAUUUUCUAGAAGGUUUACAAGCGCGAAAACGGAGCAACAAUUGAAUUCACCGAUGAAACCCGCAGCUCAAGCGCUAGGAGGAAAGUGGAGGAAAAGAGUAUGGCCAAAGGGUGAGAAGGAAGGGGGAGUGCCACGGGAGGCAUGCUCCGUGGCGGCGAAUCAGUGUGCAUGCGCUAGAGAAUGCUACCGCUGCUGCUAAACAAGCGGCACGAGCAGAAGCUCAGCAUCCGCCAUGGAGAGAGCGUCCUGCUGUUCUGACCAAAUUCAAUAAUUAAGCUGCGCAUAAAUUUCGCAUUAGGGGGUAUGAUAAUCAUAGGUGAAUUUUUUAUACAUUAACUUCUUCAUAGCAUUUCAUCUUACGUGAUGGACGGGUUUUCUUGUUGGGUAGGAAUAGCAAUGCUUAUUGAUAUGGAGACGGAUUGCUGCCAUAAUUACAGCCCAGCUACUCCGACGACGUCCCUAGAUUUGUACUUGAAAUUUUGCCAACAUUCGCAAUUGAGUGUAGAUUGUGCAUUCCUGUACAAUGGCGCGUCAACUCGGCAAAAUUACAGGAUCAAGGCGAACAAGAUCGCCUUUAGGAGGUACUGAAGCAUAACCUCACUUUUGAUGAAAUAAUCCAGGCAUCUUAAUUCACUACAUGUUGCAUUCGAUAUGACUGUAGUAGCUUCUGUGAUUUUCCUAAAAGUACAAACGCAAUGUUGAAUCACGCACUCUCUUGUUCUUUCUUUGCAGGUGGUAGCAGGACACUACCAAAUCACCAGAAGAAAUGUGAAUGCAGCCAUGGACCAAAUGAAGGACCUUGGCAGUUACAAUCUGUUGAGCAACAACUGCCAAGACUUUGUUCGAAAACUUCUAGCAAAAUUAAAGAUAAAGUUCCCGUCAGAACUAGUAACGGCCAGGAUCCUGGCCGCGGAGUUCGCCGUGAGCGUGGCAGCCCAAACAACUGGUGUUAAAUUUUUAAAAUAAAAGUCUGAUACGACCUCUUGGGCUCUGGCGUCGUCCUCGGUCCGCUGUUGCUUUACUCAAGCUGACUGGGCCUAGUACAAUAACUGAGUGAAAUCAUUAGCGAUGCAGAGGUAAAAAAGCAUGGCGCAAACAUGAAAAUGUACCAUUAUUUGAGUGUAAUAACCGCAGCAUAAAGAAAAAUUUGGCCAACUGCUGAUUUACCUGUCACAAUGUUGGUUUAAGUACGACAUCAUUGCAAUAACGGAAACAUAGGUAAGAAAAGAUAAUCACAGUAAUAUAUCUGAAUACGUAUUACUGUCACAGUGCAUGCGACACGUUGCGGUGGAGUAGCUCUGUUUAUCAGGAAGGCGCUAUAUUUUCAAUGCCUAAUGGACAUCUCCAGCACUCAACGACCUGCUGAAAAACACUUUUUCACUUUUGCAACCCUUGAUUGUCACGUCAUGUUUGGUGCAUACCACCCCCAACACUCAUGCGUUGAUUUUAUAUCUGCAAUGAAAAAUUCAAUGGUUCCAAUAGUGUGUGUGGUUAUUUUAAUAUUCAUCUAUCAAAAGAACAAUGUCACGAUUACGUGUUCCUUUUGCAGUCCUUAAAUUCUGGAAAAGCUGGAGUUUACGAUUUCGCCAUUGCUGAUCACUGCCCCACUUUUCUUGCCACGAUUAUACUUGCAUCCUGCUCAAAACUAGAGCCUGACAUAUCGCAUGCGAGUUAACCAUUUGCAAAUAUGUACCCUUGUGAAAUGCACCUUGUUGGAAGCACUGUAUAAUGACGAUGUUCAAGUAAAAUGUGAAAAAAUUAUUCGCAGCAUCACCGAUGCAAUUGGACAGUUAUACGUGCACAGAACAUAAAUAUGACCAUGCCAUAUGUCCUUGGAUAACUCUGGCUAUUCUUGCACUGCUGAAGAAGAGACUACUACUACUACAACCACUAGUACAAUAAGCUGGAACAACACAUAUGACUAAAGCUAUUUACGUAUUA